GACCAAGGGUUCCUGUCCAACGUUAAUCGGGGCAGGGUGAGUCGACCCCUAAGGCGAGGCCGAAAGGCGUAGUCGAUGGGAAACGGGUUAAUAUUCCCGUACUUGGUGUUACUGCGAAGGGGGGACGGAGAAGGCUAUGUUGGCCGGGCGACGGUUGUCCCGGUUUAAGCGUGUAGGUGUGUGUUCCAGGUAAAUCCGGUUCACUUUAACACUGAGGCGUGACGACGAGGCACUACGGUGCUGAAGCAACAAAUGCCCUGCUUCCAGGAAAAGCCUCUAAGCAUCAGGUAACAUCAAAUCGUACCCCAAACCGACACAGGUGGUCAGGUAGAGAAUACCAAGGCGCUUGAGAGAACUCGGGUGAAGGAACUAGGCAAAAUGGUGCCGUAACUUCGGGAGAAGGCACGCUGACACGUAGGUGAAGUGAUUUACUCAUGGAGCUGAAGUCAGUCGAAGAUACCAGCUGGCUGCAACUGUUUAUUAAAAACACAGCACUGUGCAAACACGAAAGUGGACGUAUACGGUGUGACGCCUGCCCGGUGCCGGAAGGUUAAUUGAUGGGGUCAGCGCAAGCGAAGCUCCUGAUCGAAGCCCCGGUAAACGGCGGCCGUAACUAUAACGGUCCUAAGGUAGCGAAAUUCCUUGUCGGGUAAGUUCCGACCUGCACGAAUGGCGUAAUGAUGGCCAGGCUGUCUCCACCCGAGACUCAGUGAAAUUGAACUCGCUGUGAAGAUGCAGUGUACCCGCGGCAAGACGGAAAGACCCCGUGAACCUUUACUAUAGCUUGACACUGAACAUUGAGCCUUGAUGUGUAGGAUAGGUGGGAGGCUUUGAAGCGUGGACGCCAGUCUGCGUGGAGCCGACCUUGAAAUACCACCCUUUAAUGUUUGAUGUUCUAACGUGGACCCGUGAUCCGGGUUGCGGACAGUGUCUGGUGGGUAGUUUGACUGGGGCGGUCUCCUCCUAAAGAGUAACGGAGGAGCACGAAGGUUGGCUAAUCCUGGUCGGACAUCAGGAGGUUAGUGCAAUGGCAUAAGCCAGCUUGACUGCGAGCGUGACGGCGCGAGCAGGUGCGAAAGCAGGUCAUAGUGAUCCGGUGGUUCUGAAUGGAAGGGCCAUCGCUCAACGGAUAAAAGGUACUCCGGGGAUAACAGGCUGAUACCGCCCAAGAGUUCAUAUCGACGGCGGUGUUUGGCACCUCGAUGUCGGCUCAUCACAUCCUGGGGCUGAAGUAGGUCCCAAGGGUAUGGCUGUUCGCCAUUUAAAGUGGUACGCGAGCUGGGUUUAGAACGUCGUGAGACAGUUCGGUCCCUAUCUGCCGUGGGCGCUGGAGAACUGAGGGGGGCUGCUCCUAGUACGAGAGGACCGGAGUGGACGCAUCACUGGUGUUCGGGUUGUCAUGCCAAUGGCACUGCCCGGUAGCUAAAUGCGGAAGAGAUAAGUGCUGAAAGCAUCUAAGCACGAAACUUGCCCCGA
rnacentral:rRNA from 1 species